AACGAACGCUGGCGGCAGGCUUAACACAUGCAAGUCGAACGCAUCGCAAGAUGAGUGGCAGACGGGUGAGUAACGCGUGGGAACAUACCCUUUUCUACGGAAUAGCUCUGGGAAACUGGAAUUAAUACCGUAUACGCCCUACGGGGGAAAGACUUAUCGGGGAAGGAUUGGCCCGCGUUGGAUUAGCUAGUUGGUGGGGUAAAGGCCUACCAAGGCGACGAUCCAUAGCUGGUCUGAGAGGAUGAUCAGCCACAUUGGGACUGAGGCACGGCCCAAACUCCUACGGGAGGCAGCAGUGGGGAAUAUUGGACAAUGGGCGCAAGCCUGAUCCAGCCAUGCCGCGUGAGUGAUGAAGGCCUUAGGGUUGUAAAGCUCUUUCACCGAUGAAGAUAAUGACGGUAGUCGGAGAAGAAGCCCCGGCUAACUUCGUGCCAGCAGCCGCCGUAAUAC
rnacentral:rRNA from 1 species